GUACGUAGGGUGCAAGCGUUGUCCGGAAUUAUUGGGCGUAAAGAGCUCGUAGGCGGUUUGUCGCGUCGAAUGUGAAAACCCGGGGCUCAACUCCGGGCCUGCAUUCGAUACGGGCAGACUAGAGUUCGGUAGGGGAGACUGGAAUUCCUGGUGUAGCGGUGAAAUGCGCAGAUAUCAGGAGGAACACCGGUGGCGAAGGCGG
rnacentral:rRNA from 1 species